UACGUAGGGAGCAAGCGUUGUCCGGAAUCAUUGGGCGUAAAGCGCGCGUAGGUGGCUUCGUAAGUCCGUUGUGAAAGUCAAAGGCUCAACCUUUGAAAGCCGAUGGAUACUGCGGAGCUAGAGUACGGAAGAGGCGAGUGGAAUUCCUGGUGUAGCGGUGGAAUGCGCAGAUAUCAGGAGGAACACCGGUGGCGAAGGCGGGUCUCUGGGUAGUAACUGACGCUGAGGAACGAAAGCGUGGGUAGCGAACAGG
rnacentral:rRNA from 1 species